rnacentral:rRNA from 1 species
GACGAACGCUGGCGGCAUGCCUAAUACAUGCAAGUCGAGCGGAGUUGACGAGAAGCUUGCUUCUCUGAUGCUUAGCGGCGGACGGGUGAGUAACACGUAGGCAACCUGCCUUUCAGCCCUGGGAUAACUUCCGGAAACGGAUGCUAAUACCGGAUACAUCAUCUUCCGGCAUCGGAGGAUGAGGAAAGACGGCGCAAGCUGUCACUGAGAGAUGGGCCUGCGGCGCAUUAGCUAGUUGGUGGGGUAAUGGCCCACCAAGGCGACGAUGCGUAGCCGGCCUGAGAGGGUGAACGGCCACACUGGGACUGAGACACGGCCCAGACUCCUACGGGAGGCAGCAGUAGGGAAUCUUCCACAAUGGGCGAAAGCCUGAUGGAGCAAUGCCGCGUGAGUGAUGAAGGUUUUCGGAUCGUAAAGCUCUGUUGCCAGGGAAGAACGUCCAGUAGAGUAACUGCUACUGGAGUGACGGUACCUGAGAAGAAAGCCCCGGCUAACUACGUGCCAGCCGCCGCGGUAA